rnacentral:lncRNA from 1 species
ACAAGUAGGCAGUGUAUGGAGACUUUGAAGUAGUCAAGCUUAAAUGGGAUGUCUCCAUUAAAGCCCUCCUCUCCAGGGUCAGAGGUGUGGGAGGACUCCAAGUGUCUCCCAGUCACAACAGGAACCCACGUGAACUCAAGAGACUGCAACAGCACAAGAUCAGCACACACUCAAGUCAGACAGGGUCCCAGAACCAAGAAGGGGAAGUUGACGUGGGGUCCCACCCUGAACCGAGAAGCUAUUUGUAAUUGGUACUCUGCCAAAGAGGAAAUCAGUUUUCUCCAAUGGAGUGUCACUGGGCAUAUCUACCACACUCCAGGGCAGACUCCAUGCCCAAAAGUAGUUGGCCAAUAGAAACUAAAUUCCA